rnacentral:lncRNA from 1 species
CAGUAUGAGCUGGCAACUGAAUACAGGGUUGAGAGUUGUCAGAGUCACGUCUAUUCUCCAGAGUGUGCAGAUUGACAACCUUAGUUUUCAUGAAGAAGACAUUCUGAAGGUAUUUCUAAUUGCUUUCAUUGAAAGCCAUAAACAGAAACGACUAUAGCAGAUAAGGCACCACCGUAGCCAACUGAUUGAAGCUAGCAUUAUCACUAUUGGGACAAAACUGUAUCACAUGCCUCUUGAUAUGAUAUACUAUGAAAGAUGCUACAUCACUUUGAUGAUAUCCUGCCAAAAAUGCAUAACCUGAAUCUAAUCAUGAGGAAACAUCAGAAAAACCAAGUUGAGUGAAAUUCUACAAAAUAAUUGGUCUAUACUCUUCAAAUAUGUCAAGGAUAAAAAACACAAAGAAAAUAUGAGAAACUAAUCCAGAUUAAAGGAGAUUUAAAGGACCAGACAAUUAAGUGCAAAGCAUAACUCUGAAUGGAGAUGGAAUAAAAGAACUCUAAGGCAGAGGUUGGCAAACCAGUUCUGUGAAGAGCCAGAUAGUAAAUAUUUUAGGCUGUAUGGACCAUAUGGUCUAUGUUGCAACUUUUCAACUCUGUGAUUAUAGUGUGAAAGCAGCCAUAGACAGCACGUAAACAAAUGGGUUUGGUUUUGUUCCAAUAAAACCUUAUUUGAAAACAGA